UACAGAGACUGCAAGCGUUGUUCGGAUUCAUUGGGCGUAAAGGGUGCGCAGGCGGCUCGUUAAGUCGGAUGUGAAAUCUCACAGCCUAACUGUGAUAGGUCAUUCGAAACUGGCGGGCUUGAGGGCUGGAGAGGAGACUGGAAUAGUCGGUGUAGCGGUGAAAUGCGUAGAGAUCGACUAGAACACCGGUGGCGAAGGCGGGUCUCUGGACAGUUCCUGACGCUCAUGCACGAAGGCCAGGGGAGCAAACGGG
rnacentral:rRNA from 1 species